AGCCACCCCCAUUUCCCAAGUGGGGAGCUCAUCACCUCCCAGGCUAUUGCACAAUGGUGUAGCAGCUCACACAGUCCCUGGGGCCCUGGGUGAGCUCACAGUCCACACUGUGUUGUAUAUCACUGGGCAAUGGCUUGGUGCCAGGUGCCCCAAACCUAGGAAAGCCCAGACUAUCAGAAGCCAUUUCCAGAGUAAGUGUGCUCACCAUGGAGAGGAUCCAGUGCUAAGGCAUUGAGCAAUGACAUCAAUGGGCAUAGGACUCAGAGCAAAAGCAAGCAGGCAAAGCAGGCUCAGAUGAAAACCUAAACACAGAGGAGGCGGCACUUGGGAGUGGAGCUUCUGUGGCCUGACCCCCAAUGGAAACAGCUGUAAAGGCAGGAAAUGCUGCCCAAUAGCAGUGAGAAGAGUCGACUCGGGUGACCUCAGAGGACACAAUGGAGGAGCAAAGUUGGAUCUGUACCACCAUUACCUAUUCCACAAAACCCAAGGAAAUGGUGAGAAGAAACAAUUUAUUUAUUUGUCUGAGAUGAGUCAGAGGGAGCAGGAAACAUAUGCCUAAAAGCCUUUCAUAUGUAACUGAAAAUAUAAAACAGUGAGACGUGUUUGAAUCUGGGGCCAUGUGGGUGAAAGUUUAGAUUAUGGGAGCCACUCAGCUUAUGAAGAAAUGAAGAGCAGAAGUGAAUUUAGAGGACAAAGGGCGAUGUAAGGUGGGUGUUUGGACAGA